AAAGUCUGAUGGAGCACGCCGCGUGAGUGAAGAAGGGUUUCGGCUCGUAAAACUCUGUUGUUAAAGAAGAACAUAUCUGAGAGUAACUGUUCAGGUAUUGACGGUAUUUAACCAGAAAGCCACGGCUAACUACGCGCCAGCAGCCGCGGUAAUACGUAGGUGGCAAGCGUUGUCCGGAUUUAUUGGGCGUAAAGCGAGCGCAGGCGGUUUUUUAAGUCUGAUGUGAAAGCCUUCGGCUUAACCGAAGAAGUGCAUCGGAAACUGGGAAACUUGAGUGCAGAAGAGGACAGUGGAACUCCAUGUGUAGCGGUGAAAUGCGUAGAUAUAUGGAAGAACACCAGUGGCGAAGGCGGCUGUCUGGUCUGUAACUGACGCUGAGGCUCGAAAGUAUGGGUAGCAAACAGGAUUAGAUACCCUGGUAAGUCCAUACCGUAAACGAUGAAUGCUAAGUGUUGGAGGGUUUCCGCCCUUCAGUGCUGCAGCUAACGCAUUAAGAUUCCGCCUGGGGAGUACCGGCCGCAAGGCUGAAACUCAAAGGAAUUGACGGGGGCCCGCACAAGCGGUGGA
rnacentral:rRNA from 2 species